rnacentral:pre_miRNA from 12 species
CCCUGGAAGAAGGCAAAUGAAGUCCAAAGCAGCUGCUGGCCACUGCACAAGAUUAGUAUAUACUCUUGUGCGUGUGACAGCGGCUAUUGCGGACCUUUCAUAAACAACGUGUCGAAG